AAGAUUUGUUUUAACAGAUUAAUAUAAUAAAUAGACUUUGAGGUAGCUUUCAGAUGAAGGCAGAAUAUAUAGCAAAUUUAUCUCAGAUAUAAAAUUGCACCUUUCAUAUAUGUUGAAACUACCAUGAGUUUACUUAAUAAUCUGAGAGGUUUUGAACAGCUCAUUAAAAUUUCUCUCCUCCAUCUAUUUGAUUCAUUAUCUCAGAUAUGUCUCCAGCACUGACUACUUGGACUCCAUAUUACUUUGCACUUCUAAGCUACUGUGAUUCCAAUUCUACAGGAACAAGACUGAGACGCCUGCACAAAAAUAACGUGUGAGAUCUGCUAUGUAUCUCCAUCUAUGUAGAGGUAGAAAGUGAUACAGGUCCAGCAGAAGAAGACUGUGAGUGCUGGUGAUCACUCAUUCGUAUGGAAGUGCUGUUGGCAGCUCUGCAGAAGAGGCAGCCUAGUUUUGGAGAUUUUUUCCUCCUUUACCUGGGAUUUAGUGUUUUGAAUCAAAUCAGACUGCGCUACUUCUAUCAAUAUGCAUGCUGUACACUGAUCUUCAACGCAAAGACAAACACUUUCCAAGUGACCAGCUCACGCUGGAGCCACAGCCACCACUUCAGAGAGCAGAGGGAACAUGGAGUUAAACACCUGCUAAUUUAACUGGGCAGCUCCAGGUACAUCAGGAGGACAGAGAACAGUUCAUGUCUCAGCAGUCCUGCCAACUGGACCAAAACCUGAAAGUUCUGAGUGUUGCAACUGCAGAUGGAGAGGGAAGGGAAGGGAAGGGAAGGGAAGGGAAGGGAAGGGAAGGGAAAAAAUUCAAAUCUUACAAAUUGAGAUGCUCUCAAUUGCAUUGCUUAACUCCAAAGACAGUAAGUAGGCAGGGUCUAACUUUGGGAAGGCUGAUUCUCUCUGACUAACUUGGCACUACUUCUGGAGUUAGGCAAUGCAUGUUAGCCAAAGGAAGAUAUUUCUGUGUGGGAUGCUUGGUGCCCUGGGAAGAAAAUGCAUUUGAUUUGAGAAG
rnacentral:lncRNA from 1 species